CUAAGCAUAUCAAUAAGCGGAGGAAAAGAAAACAACAGGGAUUGCCUUAGUAACGGCGAGUGAAGCGGCAAAAGCUCAAAUUUGAAAUCUGGCUCUUUCAGAGUCCGAGUUGUAAUUUGUAGAGGAUAUUUCGGACACCGCCCCGGGUUAAAUUUCUUGGAACAGAAUGUCAUAGAGGGUGAGAACCCCGUCUUGACCAGGGUGUAGGAUCCAUGUGAAAUUCCUUCGACGAGUCGAGUUGUUUGGGAAUGCAGCUCUAAAUGGGUGGUAAAUUUCAUCUAAAGCUAAAUAUUGGCCAGAGACCGAUAGCGCACAAGUAGAGUGAUCGAAAGAUGAAAAGCACUUUGAAAAGAGAGUUAAACAGUAUGUGAAAUUGUUGAAAGGGAAGCGCUGGCAACCAGACUUGAGCGCGGCGGUUCCCCCUUGCUUCUGCUUGGGUUAUUCCGUCGUGUCCAGGCCAACAUCGGUUCUAGGGGUCGGUUAAAGGCUCUGGGAAUGUAUCUACCCCUCGGGGUCGACUUAUAGCCCAGGGUGUCAUGCGGCCACCCGGGACCGAGGAACGCGCUUCGGCACGGAUGUUGGCGUAAUGGUUGUCAGCGGCCCGUCUUGAAACACGGACCAAGGAGUCUAACAUCUAUGCGAGUGUUAGGGUGUCAAACCCUUGCGCGGAAUGAAAGUAAACGGAGGUAAGAAGCUUCGGCUGCAUUAUCGACCGAUCCUGAAGUUUACGGAUGGAUUUGAGUAAGAGCAUAGCUGUUGGGACCCGAAAGAUGGUGAACUAUGCGUGAAUAGGGUGAAGCCAGAGGAAACUCUGGUGGAGGCUCGCAGCGGUUCUGACGUGCAAAUCGAUCGUCAAAUUUGCGUAUAGGGGCGAAAGACUAAUCGAACCAUCUGGUAGCUGGUUCCUGCG
rnacentral:rRNA from 1 species